AGGACGAACGCUGGCGGCGUGCUUAACACAUGCAAGUCGAGCGGAAAGGCCCUUCGGGGUACUCGAGCGGCGAACGGGUGAGUAACACGUGAGCAACCUGCCCCUGGCUCUGGGAUAGCCUCCGGAAACGGGGAUUAAUACCGGACAUUCUCCGCCUUCCGCAUGGUUGGCGGUGGAAAGUUUUUUCGGCCGGGGAGGGGCUCGCGGCCUAUCAGCUUGUUGGCGGGGUAACGGCCCACCAAGGCGACGACGGGUAG
rnacentral:rRNA from 1 species